rnacentral:lncRNA from 1 species
GUUCUCUCUUUCUCUCUCUCUUUUUCUUUUUCGUUUUUUUUUUUUUUUUUUUUUUUUUUUUUUUUUUUUGGGUUGGGGAUCAAACUCACAACCUUGCACUUGCCAGACAGGCACUUGUGCCACUGAGCUAAAUCCCUGCCCUUUCCUACCCUUUAAAAACUGUCCUACUGGGCCCGAGAUGCCAUGAACCUUUCAAGCAGGAGAGGAAGCAAAGGGCAUGGGUGUGUGUUUCUAAAGGCUCAUUCCCAAAUUCUACUUCCUGUGCCUCUUUUGGAUCCUGCCUGUCAAGCCUACCUAUCAAGCACCACACUGAGACCAACCGUACAACUGGCCACUAAGCAUGACUCAGAAGAAGUCCAUCAGGAAUUACUGAAACUCAGAAAGUGCCAGGAUUUGUGAACUCCUGACUUCAUGGCGCCACAAUAGUUGUAUCUGAUGAAGUAAAGCAGCUAAAGAGAAAGUGCCUUUGGAUUGAUUUCAGCUAGAAGACAGAUAGAUCCCAGAGCUGAUUGGAAACAUCACCAGAUAUUGUGUUCGUAUUCUUUAUAGCAGUUGUCUUGAUGUUACCAGCAGGAGGCAUCUUGUAACCAAAAACAUUUUUCCUUAGGCUGAUACUUUUAAUAAAUUUACCUUCUGCUUGUUUUCAUUCAACUUUCUGUUUGUUUAUUUCUUACUAUCUUCUACUUAGAAACCAAAUGCUGUGCUGUGGCAUGGUUAGACAUCGG